rnacentral:rRNA from 1 species
AGUGAACGCUGGCGGUAGGCCUAACACAUGCGAGUCGAACGGCAGCACAGUAAGAGCUUGCUCUUACGGGUGGCGAGUGGCGGACGGGUGAGGAAUACAUCGGAAUCUACUUUUUCGUGGGGGAUAACGUAGGGAAACUUACGCUAAUACCGCAUACGACCUACGGGUGAAAGCAGGGGAUCUUCGGACCUUGCGCGAUUGAAUGAGCCGAUGUCGGAUUAGCUAGUUGGCGGGGUAAAGGCCCACCAAGGCGACGAUCCGUAGCUGGUCUGAGAGGAUGAUCAGCCACACUGGAACUGAGACACUGUCCAGACUCCUACGGGAGGCAGCAGUGGGGAAUAUUGGACAAUGGGCGAAAGCCUGAUCCAGCCAUGCCGCGUGUGUGAAGAAGGUCUUCGGAUUGUAAAGCACUUUAAGUUGGGAGGAAGGGCAGUAAGUUAAUACCUUGCUGUUUUGACGUUACCAACAGAAUAAGCACCGGCUAACUUCGUG